GGUUAAGCGACUAAGCGUACACGGUGGAUGCCCUGGCAGUCAGAGGCGAUGAAGGACGUGCUAAUCUGCGAUAAGCGUCGGUGAGGUGAUAUGAACCGUUAUAACCGGCGAUUUCCGAAUGGGGAAACCCAGUGUGUUUCGACACACUAUCAUUAACUGAAUCCAUAGGUUAAUGAGGCGAACCGGGGGAACUGAAACAUCUAAGUACCCCGAGGAAAAGAAAUCAACCGAGAUUCCCCCAGUAGCGGCGAGCGAACGGGGAGGAGCCCAGAGCCUGAAUCAGUGUGUGUGUUAGUGGAAGCGUCUGGAAAGGCGCGCGAUACAGGGUGACAGCCCCGUACACAAAAAUGCACAUAUUGUGAGCUCGAUGAGUAGGGCGGGACACGUGGUAUCCUGUCUGAAUAUGGGGGGACCAUCCUCCAAGGCUAAAUACUCCUGACUGACCGAUAGUGAACCAGUACCGUGAGGGAAAGGCGAAAAGAACCCCGGCGAGGGGAGUGAAAAAGAACCUGAAACCGUGUACGUACAAGCAGUGGGAGCCUCUUAAUGGGGUGACUGCGUACCUUUUGUAUAAUGGGUCAGCGACUUAUAUUCUGUAGCAAGGUUAACCGAAUAGGGGAGCCGAAGGGAAACCGAGUCUUAACUGGGCGUUAAGUUGCAGGGUAUAGACCCGAAACCCGGUGAUCUAGCCAUGGGCAGGUUGAAGGUUGGGUAACACUAACUGGAGGACCGAACCGACUAAUGUUGAAAAAUUAGCGGAUGACUUGUGGCUGGGGGUGAAAGGCCAAUCAAACCGGGAGAUAGCUGGUUCUCCCCGAAAGCUAUUUAGGUAGCGCCUCGUGAAUUCAUCUCCGGGGGUAGAGCACUGUUUCGGCAAGGGGGUCAUCCCGACUUACCAACCCGAUGCAAACUGCGAAUACCGGAGAAUGUUAUCACGGGAGACACACGGCGGGUGCUAACGUCCGUCGUGAAGAGGGAAACAACCCAGACCGCCAGCUAAGGUCCCAAAGUCAUGGUUAAGUGGGAAACGAUGUGGGAAGGCCCAGACAGCCAGGAUGUUGGCUUAGAAGCAGCCAUCAUUUAAAGA
rnacentral:rRNA from 1 species